GGGUACCGCUCCCUUCUCUCUGCUCUGCAUCCGGUAUAGAUGCGGAGCCCGA
rnacentral:ncRNA from 1 species